GCAUUAGUAGUUCAGUGGUAGAAUGGGUCGUUGCCAUCAUCCAAGCUCGACUCGGCCGGCGUUCGAUUCGCCGCUAAUGCA